ACGGAAGGCAGCAGUGGGGAAUUUUGCGCAAUGGGGGGAACCCUGACGCAGCAACGCCGCGUGCGGGAUGAAGGCCUUCGGGUUGUAAACCGCUUUCAGCAGGGACGAUUAUGACGGUACCUGCAGAAGAAGCUCCGGCUAACUACGUGCCAGCAGCCGCGGUAAUACGUAGGGAGCGAGCGUUAUCCGGAUUCAUUGGGCGUAAAGCGCGCGUAGGCGGCUUGCUAAGCGGAACCUCUAAUCCGAGGGCUCAACCCCGGGCCGGGUUCCGAACUGGCAGGCUCGAGUGCGGUAGGGGCAAGUGGAAUUCCAUGUGUAGCGGUGGAAUGCGCAGAUAUAUGGAAGAACACCGAUGGCGAAGGCAGCUUGCUGGGCCGACACUGACGCUGAGGUGCGAAAGCGUGGGGAGCGAACAGGAUUAGAUACCCUGGUA
rnacentral:rRNA from 1 species